rnacentral:rRNA from 1 species
UACGGAGGGGGCUAGCGUUGUUCGGAAUUACUGGGCGUAAAGCGCGCGUAGGCGGCCUUGUAAGUUAGAGGUGAAAGCCCAGGGCUUAACCCUGGAAUUGCCUUUAAGACUGCAUCGCUAGAAUCGUGGAGAGGUGAGUGGAAUUCCGAGUGUAGAGGUGAAAUUCGUAGAUAUUCGGAAGAACACCAGUGGCGAAGGCGACUCACUGGACACGUAUUGACGCUGAGGUGCGAAAGCGUGGGGAGCAAACAGG